UAAUACGGAGGGUGCAAGCGUUGUUCGGAAUUACUGGGCGUAAAGGGCGCGUAGGCGGUUUGAUAAGUCAGAUGUGAAAGCCCACGGCUUAACCGUGGAAGUGCAUUUGAAACUGUCAGACUUGAGUACCAGAGGGGAAAGUGGAAUUCCCGGUGUAGAGGUGAAAUUCGUAGAUAUCGGGAGGAAUACCGGUGGCGAAGGCGACUUUCUGGCUGGAUACUGACGCUGAGGCGCGAAAGCGUGGGGAGCAAACAGGAUUAGAUACCCUGGUAGUCCACGCUGUAAACGAUGUCAACUAGAUGUAGGGGGUGUUGAUCCCUUCUGUGUCGCAGCUAACGCAUUAAGUUGACCGCCUGGGGAGUACGGUCGCAAGAUUAAAACUCAAAGGAAUUGACGG
rnacentral:rRNA from 1 species